rnacentral:rRNA from 1 species
AACGAACGCUGGCGGCAGGCCUAACACAUGCAAGCCGAGCGCCCCGCAAGGGGAGCGGCGGACGGGUGAGUAACGCGUGGGAACGUACCUUUUGCUUCGGAAUAGCCUCGGGAAACUGGGAGUAAUACCGAAUGUGCCCUACGGGGGAAAGAUUUAUCGGCAAAAGAUCGGCCCGCGUUGGAUUAGGUAGUUGGUGGGGUAAUGGCCUACCAAGCCGACGAUCCAUAGCUGGUUUGAGAGGAUGAUCAGCCACACUGGGACUGAGACACGGCCCAGACUCCUACGGGAGGCAGCAGUGGGGAAUCUUAGACAAUGGGCGCAAGCCUGAUCUAGCCAUGCCGCGUGAGCGAUGAAGGCCUUAGGGUUGUAAAGCUCUUUCGUGGGGGAAGAUAAUGACUGUACCCCAAGAAGAAGCCCCGGCUAACUCCGUGCCAGCCGCCGCCGUAAAAC